CUUAACACCCAAUCAGUUCCUCAUUCUUGACUCUCUCUCCCUCUCUCUCUCUCUCUCAUUCUCUCGGCAAAAACUUUUGGAUGCGAUGAAGUGUUUCCAUUUCACCAACGGCGAGAGGCGCGACGACGACGACGCCGAGCCCGGCGUCGUUUCUCGCGCGCCGUCCAAGGUCUCCUGGGCGCGGUCCCUCAGCGUGGCCUCCAGCAGCUACGACAACACCAACUACAAUCGCCGCUCCGAGUUCGACUCCGACUCCCGCGACAUGUCCGACUCGGCGGCCUUCUACGACUUGCUGAGUCAGCGCCGGGCCAAUGAUCUGAGGGUGUUCGCCUUCUCCGAGCUCAAAUCGGCCAGCCGCGGGUUCAGUCGGGCCUUGCUGAUCGGCGAGGGAGGGUUUGGGUGCGUUUUCCGAGGGAUCGUUAACGACGACGGAGCUAAAAUGGACGUCGCUAUCAAACAGUUGAAUCGUAGUGGCUUCCAGGGGCAUAAGGAGUGGAUUAAUGAGGUAAAUUUUUUGGGGGUUGUCAAGCACCCGAAUCUUGUGAAGCUAGUAGGAUACUGUGCAGAAGAUGAUGAAAGGGGGAUCCAACGUCUUUUGGUUUACGAACUUAUGCAUAAUAGAAGCCUGGAGGACCAUCUGUUGGUUCGGUGCCCAUCACCGCUCCCAUGGAUGACGAGAUUAAAAAUUGCUCAGGAUGCAGCGCGCGGGUUGGCGUACCUGCAUGAAGAAAUGGAUUUCCAGCUUAUAUUCCGCGAUUUUAAACCGUCAAAUGUUCUGCUAGAUGAGGGCUACAAUGCAAAGCUUUCAGACUUUGGACUCGCAAGGCAAGGACCUCUCCAGGGAAUGACUCAUGUAUCAACCGCAGUUGUUGGAACGGUAGGGUAUGCAGCUCCAGAAUAUGUACAGACAGGGAAACUUACCGCUAAAAGUGAUGUCUGGAGCUUUGGAGUGGUUCUCUACGAGCUCAUCACAGGAAGGAGGGCGAUGGAGAGAAAUCUGCCCCGGAGUGAGCAAAAACUUUUGGAAUGGGUCAGACCUUACGCUUCAGACUCAAAGAAAUUCCACCUUAUUGUAGACCCACGACUUGAAGGACAGUAUUGCAUCAAAUCAGCUCAGAAGCUGGCAUCAUUAGCUAACAGGUGUCUAUCAAAACAACCUAAGUCUCGCCCGAAAAUGAGUGACGUGGUUGGGAUUUUGGGAACUAUCAUCGAUGAGCAAACAUCUCAAGAUGAAGUUGUCCCUCAACCUGUUAUCGAAACUGACGAGGCAAGGGAAGAAACUUUGGAGGUGGCUGAGAUUGAAUCUACUACCAAACAAGGAACCAAGAAUCUGAAAAAGGUUUUCGAUAUAAGAGAUAUGGUAAACUUUAGAAACAAAUCUAUCGGGAAGUUAGAUUGGAGAAACUGGACCCCUGGGUUGAUACGAACUUGGUGAUAAAUUGGCCAGCUUGCGGCAGAAAGUGUAGAGGAGGCUGAGACUGAAUCUAGCAAACAAGAAAACAGAUAUCCAAAGAGGGUUUUCUAUACUAAAGCAAUGGUAAACUUUAGAAUCAGAUCUAUUAAACUGGCUUGGUUCAUAAAGCUAUCGGCCAGCUUGUGGUAGAGAACGUCCAUGUGCUUGGCUCCUUCCAGGAAAUGGAACAUGGACCCAUAUCUACCUUCGAAUUGAAGACAGUAUAGAUUACUUGUCGUUCUUCAAGAGUUAUGGAGAGCACUUAACAAAUGACGAGCAAAAUUGAUGUUUAUGCUUACAGCAGAAAGUUGUGCUCCAUAUUUGCUCUGGACGUUUGGGUGAUGAUGCUUAUCCUAGUUCUUGGUGGCGCUCUAGUCCAUGGUGCUGAUGCAUUAUAUCAAUUUUCGUCUCUUCUGCUGGGUCAAUUUCUGGAUCUGGGCUGCAGUAAUUAAGACCUUAAGAUUAUUUUAAGAUUUCACAAGGCUUGUACAGUAUUGAAUUUUCACAUUAGAGUUUUGCCGGGAAACCUGUGGAGAGAAAAGAACAGAAAGGCUUACCAGUGCCACAGAUUCAA